CGGCACUGAGUGGGCACUUUAUGCACAAUUAUGCUGCUGUUCAUACUAAACUCCUUUGGUUUACCAAGGGGGGGCUGCAUUGUUGUUCCCUGAGGUCUUAUCUGCUCCGAAAUAUCCAGUCAGGGUCUGGAUAGGCAGAUCAUGAGGGUUACCCCACCUUGAACCCGUUAGUCCCAGUCUGUCACUGGAGGAAGGAUCUGGCCGCCGUGUCUGAAGGGGUCCUGACAAGGGGGUCCAGUGAAAUUAGUUUUUUUUUUUUUUCGCCUCUCAGGACCAUUGAUUGUGAUAUUUGGUGCAAUUUGUUUCAGAAGUUAAAAAGAAACCAACAGGAAACGAUUCCCAUUCCAGGAUGUUUGACGGGCAGACGACAGUCGAGGGUAGCCGCCUGUUCCUGGCAACUCCGCCACAUCCAGACACCCGCUACUUUAACAUUCGGUUUCGUGAAGAACGGACUGUGAAUUGAGUCCCCCACAAACCCCCCCCCCCCACCCGCAACCCGUGAGGACUGCAGUGAAGCUUUUCCUAUGCACAUUCUCUAGAGGCAUUGCAAUAUGAUUAUAAUGUUAUUGUUAUAUAUUGAAGUUAUAUAUUUUAAAGAAAAAAAAAACAAGAAUCUACUGUAGGAGAGGUACUGGUUUAUAGUUCUGUAUGUUCUGGUGAGUUUAAAUGUUACGAGGUAAACUUAGACGUGUGUUUCUUUUUCUUAUUCUAUUUAUGGAUGCUGUGAUUGGUUACUGAGCUCCACCGUUUGAUUUUUUUAUUUAUCUUUUCAUUUUAAUCCUUUUCCACGAAUUGCUUUUGCUUGGGUUUGUCCCGCACAAGGACUUUCCAUUGGAACAUAAGGACAUCGGCUCCCCCUGCUGGCAUCCCCUUGAAGCUGCAGAGCUACAGCUUUGAAGAGCUCCUCCCAUGAAUGCUAAUUAGCGACGUGCCCUGACCCGAGAUGACUCCGCCCACCCACAAAGGAGCCUCCCCUGGCCCGGACUCCACCCCUCAACGACUUCUCUUCUUUCUUUCAUCCCAUGUUAGUCCUCUGUGACACUCUUUAUCACUUUCCGUGUUUUCAGCCUAGGAUUCCAUUUUUCUUUUUCCCUUUUUCUUUGCCGAAUCUAAAUAAAGUGGUUCUACUGUGAUUGUUCACAUUUAAUAAACAUGCACAUUUUGUAAAAUAUC